CACUAACAAACACAUCCGCCAGGGUACUACGAGCGCUAGCUUAAAACCCAAAGGACUUGACGGUGUCUCAGACCCGCCUAGAGGAGCCUGUUCUAGAACCGAUAAUCCCCGUUUAACCUCACCAUCCCUUGUUCUUCCCGCCUAUAUACCGCCGUCGCAAGCUUACCCUGUGAAGGGCCUAUAGUAAGCAGAAUGGACCCCCCCCCAAACGUCAGGUCGAGGUGUAGCUCAUGAGAUGGAAAGAAAUGGGCUACAUUUUCUACUAACAGAAUAUCACGAACGGUACUAUGAAACUAGUACCCGAAGGUGGAUUUAGCAGUAAAAAAA
rnacentral:rRNA from 1 species